rnacentral:piRNA from 1 species
AUUGCCUUGGUCAUGGUGUUAACACAGCAAU